rnacentral:tRNA from 1 species
GGUUAUUUUAAAGAUUUGUUUUGAAAACAUUUAAUGGGAGUUCCCAAUAACCU